UACGAAGGGGGCUAGCGUUGCUCGGAAUUACUGGGCGUAAAGCGCACGUAGGCGGCUCUUUAAGUCGGAGGUGAAAUCCUGGAGCUCAACUCCAGAACUGCCCUCGAUACUGAAGAGCUCGAGUCCGGGAGAGGUGAGUGGAACUGCGAGUGUAGAGGUGAAAUUCGUAGAUAUUCGCAAGAACACCAGUGGCGAAGGCGGCUCACUGGCCCGGUACUGACGCUGAGGUGCGAAAGCGUGGGGAGCAAACAGG
rnacentral:rRNA from 1 species